rfam:[Clostridium] thermoalcaliphilum strain DSM 7309 CLOTH_contig000010, whole genome shotgun sequence.
UAAAAAUGAAUUAUUUUGCCGUAGACAGUAGGCGCAGUAAGCUUAAAUUUGCCUACCGAGGUUUUCUAUAGAUUAUGGAAAAUAGAGCCUUUGUAUGUCUAUGUGGAUAUGCAAAGGCUUUUGAUUUAACGGC